GUAUAGACAUAGACAAAAUACAUGUUUUAUGAAUGAAUAAAUAAUAAGAACCUUAAGAGCUGUUUUUUUCCCAUUUAAGAAAACAAAAAGGAAAAGAGAAAAAUGAUCUUCUGGAAUAACUCUGCUUUGAUAUUCUCCUUUUGUUCCCCAAAAAAUAUAUUCCAGAAAGGCAAACCAAACCUGCUCAAGUUGCCUAUGCACAGACAAUCUCAACAAUAUGGCUCACAGUGAGCAAGCAGAAAUUCAGGGUCUGGAAUUGAAUGUGAGUUAUGGGAAGAAACAGUGUGUGCUUUCACAAAGAUCCUUUUGUCAGACAAGGGAACAGCAUGAUAAUCCAAUGGAACUGGUUAACAUGACCCAAGAUGACAUGACCACAGAUAUACUAGUCGUUCUGAAACUUGCCCAAGAAAUUGCAAUCGUUUCAGCAGAACUCCAUGAAAUAUUGACAAAUUAAUUCCAUCAUCAAACUAGGAGUGAUAUUAUCAGGUAAAACUAUGAUCUCAUGUAUGUAUUUGGUCUUUCUGGGUCACAAUGUGACAUGAAAAAUUUUAAAGGUCAUAUUUUAGCAAGAUCAAAAUGAAUUAGAUAAAUCAACUUCACAAAUGUUAAGCGAAACAUGAUCCUAUUGAGCUGAGAAAGAAGUACUUGAGAUCGUUUGAGUUUUGACUAUCAAAUGUCAGCACAAAAGCAAAUAUCAAAAGCUUAAGAAAAAAAUUAUUUCAGGAAAAGAAAAACACAUCAAAUUGAGAAAGUGUUGUUGAAUAACUUUGUUUUUAGAACUGGAAAUUUAGGCUUAUUAGACAUGACAUUGAUAUUACAAAGCCCUAGUUUUCAUGAAAACAUAACUAGAUAACCCCAAGGUGUAUAGGUUAAAAUGAACUAAUUAAUCAACAAUUAUGCAUCCUGUGUCUAUUUUGUGCAAGGUACUUCCUAGACACUGUAGUUUGAAAGAAUAAUUUCCUGUAGAAAAACCUAAUCUAAUAGGACCUACUCAUAAUUUGGCAAAAUCAUCCUCAUAAUUCCAUGCUACUGAAAUGGGGGUGUAAUAAAGAAAAAAUCAUUUGUUUAUUCAUUUAACAGGGUUUAUUAAGCACCAAUAUAUGCCCAGAACUUUGCAGUGCACUGGAAGUUCAGAGAUAAGAAAACCACAGUUUCUGCCAUCAAAAUGCUAGGAAUCUAGAGGUCUCAAACAUCAGAGGUCCCUUCAAACUAUGUCUACCAGGAAAAUAAAAUACCUGAUUUCAUCCCUGCAAACAACUCUAUACAGACAGAAAUGCUUCCUAGCUUGGAAACUAUAGAAAAUUGAACAUGAAAAUGAGAGCAAAGGUUCUACAUCAAAAUGGCAAUGAUCCAAUCAGCCCAGUCAAGGCUGAGUGGGUUGAAUGGGGACUUCGAGUUUGGAUUCAAUGCUUUGAACUUCAUAGCUCCAGAGAAGCUGUGCAAAAAGGGGGGAUUCUAGGGAAUCUGAGGAAGAUUGUUGGAGAAACCAGCUUUCUUCUUGUCUCCUAAUCCCUGCUAAGAUUGAUACCAGUCAAGGAGCUGAGUUACUUUCAUUUCAUUAUGUUGACCAAGAGAAGCUUAUGAUACAGACUAUGACACAGCACCUAUUUCAAGAGAAAGAUGUUACUCUACUUAUGGGAACCUGCAGAUCAAAUUCUCCUGGGGCAAGAGAAGAAAUUUGUUCAGCAGCCUAAGAAGUCAACUGUACUUUGGACAGUGCUGCCAAACACACCCCAGGAUUCUCCCACCCCUGUGCUUUCCCAGAAGAUGCCACAUAGCUGGUAUUUGGUUUUCAUGAAUAACCAAAGAUUCUUCUUUGCUUCCUGAACCCCAGGCAUCCUUAGGAAUUUGCUUCAUGUCCUCACUUGUCCUUGAAGGCUUGUUUUUCAGGAUGAACUUUUAAAGUCUAAGUUGUUUAUAUUCAAAUCAACCCAAUGCUAUUGUUGCUGAUAUUAAACCAUUCCAAACUGAGCCAACUGGCCCCUAAACAAGCCAGCAGGCAGCCCCUCACUAAUGCCCAGUUUAGAACAUGUUAGGACCAGGCUAUCUGCAUAGCUUUAGUGGUUUUAGAAGCCAGUAAUGGCAGUGUAAAAGAGGAAUCAUACAGAGAUGACCUGGAAGAAAAUUUGAGUUUCAGCACAUUCAAAAGCAUUUGACUCUUCUGCCGUGUUUUGAUUUUCAAGUGAGACAAUCAAUGUACACACAAAGCCUCUAGUACAAUGACUGAUGCAUACUAGGGACUGUUAUUUAUGUUAUUUUUUUACAGUAUGCAUGGACUUCAUUGUCUCAGUCUUUGGUGUUACUUAUAAACUCUAAAUUUACACCAAAAAAAUUUUUUUUCAGAAAAAGAAUCGUGGAGAAACAAUCCUAAUUAUUAAAUCAAAUGCUUUCACAAUUGCUUUUUAAAUAAGUACAUCUCUGCAAAUAAAAAUGCUUGCUCUUGUCUACCACAAUAAAGAACAGAAGGAAUCUUGGAAUGAAGAGAGGCAGGAAUGUUGGAUCUCAGUGGCUGAGUUGUGGCAAUUCCAUUGGACAUAUAGUACCAGAUGUUGCACCAUCUGGAUGAUGUGUAGGAGAUAAAGCCAAAUUGCAAAAAUAAAAGACUCAUGAUUUCCCAAGGAAAGUCAACUGUGCAUGGUGGCUAUCAGACAACACCCUAGCAAUGAAUGGGGGAACUUGCAGAAGAAAGAGUUAAUGCUUGCUUAAACCUUCCCUGGGGAGAUUUGUUCCCAGGCUUUCACGGCUUUAACCUCAGCAACCCUGUAAGAAAAUUGUGAUUCAUAUUUUGAUUUGUUAUCAUAGAUGCAAAGAGACAUAAUUUCAUGGAUUCUAAGAUACACAGAGCAAGAAGAGAUUUUGAUCACCCAGAACAACCACCUGUCUUUUUAGAUCAAGAAGCAGAAGCUCAGAGCAAAGAACAUCACACCACGUCCCUCAGUGAUUGAAGCAGUGAUUGAGUCACAGAAUAAAUCUGGAACUCAGGUCUUCUGAUCUUUGCUCCAGAUGUUAGAGACAAAACUAAAAGUAAAAUACCAAGUGAAAUCAAAGCAUCACGAUUGAGCCCAGAACAUGAAAAAGAACUUCCUGGCCCACUUGAGAAACUGUUAAACCGGACAUACCUUUGGGGACUUCUUCCCUUCUCUGGAAUAAGAUUGAUGUUUCCAUGCUGUGAAAGACGAUGAUGUUCCUUCUCCCAGAUUCCUGCUGUCUUCAAAAGGCCUAGCAAAAACCACUGCUGCUGGGUGCAGUUGAGAAAGGGAAUGAAGAACAAUCCCAUGGCCAUGCAGGCACUCCUCCCCUCCACCUCUCUGCCCUCCACCCCUCUGCCCUCUCCUACCUUGUUCCUUCUUGGUCCUGCCAUGUUUGGACUGGUUCACCUUUUUGGCCCAUCACUUGGGCUCAUUCAGCAACAGUCAUGCCUUAGGUUGCAUCCUCAUCUAUAGGCCAAUUAAACAGGGUUUCUUCUUGAUAAAUCCCUAUGGUUUUGAUUUUAGGAAGUCAGGCAUGAUUUCUUUUGGGAUCUAUAUGACCCAAAGUGGCCAGUUUUACCAAAGGUGUCCCUUUGCACUGGGAUCUCUGGGUCUCAUUUGAACACAGCUUGGGUCCUCUUGCCUUGUCCCAGAGAAUCCCCAUGUUGUCAGGACAUAAGCAGAUACUCUAGGGCCUUCACCAAAAGCUACAAAGAAGCAGACAGGACUCAACUUAGGACAUCUUAUGGUUAUGUAACUAAGAGAUUAUUUUAGGAAGUAAACAGGCCUCUGUUGGCUCAAAUGAACAUCUUCAUUGUUAGUUUCCACUUACAUUGUUCUCGGGAUAAAUCGGCCAGAAUUUGGCAGGGCUCCCCAGCAGUCCUUGUGAAUCCCUGUGGUAGGAUGUUUCAGUUCUCCUGAGUCAGGCUGAAGUGAAAGCUCCUAAGAGAUAUUCAGAAAGAAGGAUGGUCAAGUUCUAGAACAACAAUAGUUGGCCCAGUAAUUUUAAAGAUUGUCAUUCUACCUAAGCCUUCAUCCUCCAGAUAGCACUGUUAUGGGCUUAAAAUAAGCUUCAAGGGAAAUAAUGAAUUUCUUUGACACCGCCAAAAAUCGGCUGUAUAUAAGAAUAACUUGAGAAUGGCUUACAAUGAGGUAGUCAAAAGCCCAGCUCAGUGCUCAGGAAUGUAUUUGUAAUUCCUCUUAGACUUGUCGAAUGGACUGCAAUUUGAUACCUAAGAGUAAUAAAAAAUGAGACCAUAUUUUAUGUUAAUGUUCCCUUCUCUUCCUCUGCCCACAAAAGUGAGGUCAGGGAAGGGGAGAGAAACUUAUCCUAAGCACUCCUUAUGAGUUGCUUGUGACAUGAUAGCUCUCUCUAAAGUUCAUGCAAUCCUCAUCGCAACCCCAUGAGGGAGAUGUUAUUGUCUCCAUCUUAUAGAUGAGGAAACUGAAGACAAGACCUUGUCAAAGGUCACACAUUGUAAGAAGUAGAGCUGCAUAUUCAACCAAAGCCCGUGUACCUGGAAAGCUCAUUCUCUCUCCCCCUUCUUCCUCUCAAAUCAGGCCCUAGCUCCUCCACAAUGCUUCGGGCUUCUACGUUCACUCAGCUUUACAGUAAAAUGAUCACAGACCCAUGAGUUCCCUGGAGAGUAGAGUGAUGCCUGGGUCAGCUGUUCCUCUUGUCUGUUCAGCAGGUCCUUUGAGUGGCUUCACAAUCCAGCUGUCAGUGGCAGAAAAUAAUGCCUCAUAAAUUAUUCACCUGGUUCACAUUGGAAUCCAUUAGCUCUCGGGGCUUGGUGUGGCUGCAGAUCAUCCACAAGUGCCCCUUGUUCUCUGCCCCCAAGGAGCUCCUGUCAUUGUUUUUAACCAAACAAGUUCAAAUAUCUCCACGUCUCUGCUGACUCUGGUCUUUUGUCUCUAGACUGUACCUUUAUUUCUGAGCUCUGAAAUUCUGCAGAAACAGGUGAGUCUAUAAAAACAUUCUGUGGGAGGCCAAAAGCUCAGAACAGUUGUGUCUCUCUUUCUCAGUAUUAAAAGAUCAAGGUUUCCCAUGGAAGCCAACCUGAUCUGGUAAUUGGGCCCUUCUAUACCCCUCUGAAUACUUUUCCAAGGAGGGGGCAGUUCCCACCCCCAUAGUUCCCCUGAGGGUUAAGAGUCCAGGUGGUGGCCAAGUUGCAAGAUUUGGGGCAGCCAUUUUGCCAAGGAUCAGAGAUUUGCUGUUGGAGAGGUGAAGUCGGCUCUGUGCCAUCCUGAAAAAUCAACUUAGAAAGAUAGGUGGACUUCAUCAGAUUUGUCAGUCCUUCCUUGUUUUAAAGAGAAAAAUGAUCUCUGCCUUGCUUCAGAUAGGAUAUGGCUAUUUUUUUUCCUUCUUUUUCUAAUGUAGCAGUGAUGGAAAACACCAGUCUUUGAAGAACAAAUGGAGGUUCCCAGUGACAUGAAUCCAUUAUAUUUGAUUUUGGAUUGUAUUUUUUAACCCCUUUUUAUGGCAUAGAAUUCUGGUGCCUUGCUCCCUGGGUUUGUCUCUGUGCUACGAGUAGGCUUUCUUCACAUUCUGGCUUACAGGGGAACACAACUAUUCCACAAGUGGCCUUUAGUGCUCUUUAUAAUAUGAUUUCCUGUAAUUUUUAAACUGUAUGUGUAAUUUAUAUUCUGGCUCUGUCCAAUAUUUGAACAACUUUAAUAGGUUGAUUUCCAUAUAUAUUAUGCAAAUAAUUCUUACCUGAUUUUUUAUGUUCUAUCUUAAAUAAAUACUGCACCACUUAUUAAUAAAUAGACAUUUCAGUGAUU
rnacentral:lncRNA from 1 species